rnacentral:lncRNA from 1 species
UGAUUAUCUCCAAUUUGUCCUGUCUAGAGCUUCUUUUUUGUUUUAAACCUUUACCUUCCUGGGAUCCAGUGAAUGACCUUGGUGUCUUCCAUGUUUGACCAAGCUCCACGGCACCUGCUUCUGCUGCCUUCAUGAUCACUGGAACAAAUUGUGCCUGCAGAAGCAGGAAGAAGUUUUCACGUGCUUGGUGUAGACAUCCCCCUAACUUGCCCAUAAAGUUCUUCCUCUGGAUGUGGAUAGUGUUCUUUCUCUUCAGUCCCUCAGGAUUCAACAACUCCUCUCUAAAGCAGGAUAAUAACAACAUUUACCUCCUAGGUUUGCUGACAUCUCAUCCGGCUGGCACCGGGUGCCCCGAGAG